AAUCUGUGCAUUGGACAUUUUCGCAGCAAGUCCUUAAAUCUUUCUCAUGCCUCGUACAAGCUCUCAUCUUCUAACUAUUUAAAGAAAGUGAGGUCGUUCCAAAGUUU